rnacentral:rRNA from 1 species
CAGUAGCCGCGGUAAUACGUAGGGUGCAAGCGUUAAUUGGAAUUACUGGGCGUAAAGCGUGCGCAGGCGGUUAUAUAAGACAGAUGUGAAAUCCCCGGGCUCAACCUGGGAACUGCAUUUGUGACUGUAUAGCUAGAGUACGGCAGAGGGGGAUGGAAUUCCGCGUGUAGCAGUGAAAUGCGUAGAUAUGCGGAGGAACACCGAUGGCGAAGGCAAUCCCCUGGGCCUGUACUGACGCUCAUGCACGAAAGCGUGGGGAGCAAACAGGAUUAGAUACCCCGGUAGUCCCUGUCUCUUAUAC